rnacentral:rRNA from 1 species
CCCGAUGAACCUGAAUAUCCGUUAUGGAAAAUUCAUCAUUAAUAUUAUUAUAUAUAAAAAUAUAAUAAAAAUAGUGUGCAAUUUUUCCAUAUAAGGACAUUGUAAUUUGUUAAUGUGUUAAAUAUUUAUCAAAAAAUUUAAAACAUAAGUUUAUUCAAAUUAGUUAUUUUCGAAUUUCUAACAUAGAAUAAAUGUAUUAAAUUCGAUAAAUCAUUGACAGAUUUUAUUAUAUAUAAUGCUUAAAUUCUUUUUGAAUUUUAUAAUUAUUUUUAUUAAUUAUUAAUAAUUAUAUGCAUUUAUAUGAUUAACAAUGCGAUAGAUUCAGGAUACCUUCGGGACCCGUCUUGAAACACGGACCAAGGAGUCUAACAUAUGUGCAAGUCAUUGGGUAUUUUUAAUAAAACCCAAUGGCAUAAUUAACUUAACUGUUAUUUAAUGGGAUUAGUUUGUAUAUUAUUAUGAUAUAUAAAUUCAAUCCCGGGGCGUUCUAUAUAGUUAUGCAUAAUAAUAUUUAUAUUAUUUAUGCCUCUAACUAGAGCGUACCUUGAGCAUAUAUGCUGUGACCC